rnacentral:ncRNA from 1 species
GUAAAGCUUGAUCCUGAUUUGCUAAUUCAUUGUCCGCUGAUAUAAUAUGUUAUAAUUCUAAAACAAGAUUGAGUGCAGUUAUAGGUAUUAGAGUUUAUUUCCUUAGAUUUGGCCAAGAGGAAUACUUUAGGCAAAAUCUGUGCCAGCAACCGCGGUCAUACAGAUUAUAGAAGUGAAUAUUAUAAGAUACCCGUUUAAUUUGUUUGAUUGGUAUGAUUAACCUUUUUUUAUGAAAAGGGUUUAUGGGUGAAAUCUGUAAAUUGAGUGAACAUAAUCAGAAGAAAAUUACUUCUUUGCAGAAAAAUUACUAGGAUUAGAUACCCUACUAUUCUGCUGAGCAUUCUUAGGUAGUAUAUUAAAAACCUAAAGGAUUUGGCGGUUCUUAAACUUACUAGAGGAAUCUGUCCUAUAAAUGAUAGUCCACGAGGUUACCAACUUAGUCUUGUCAACAGCUUAUAUACCGUCGUUUAGAGGAUUAAAUUAAUAAUUCCUCUUAAUACAAGAAUCUAAGAAAUCAGAUCAAGGUGUAGCUUAUGGUUAAGAAGAGAUGGAUUACAAUAAUUUAAUUACAUAAAGUUUAAUUCUUUGUUCACGGAUAUACUUCCUUACGGGAGCAUUUAAGGUGGAUUUAGUAGUAAGAUAUUGAAAAUCUGAAUUGAGCUCUUAAGAAUGUACACAUCGCCCGUCGCUCUCCUAUCUGAGGAGAUAAGUCGUAACAAAGUAGGCUUACUGGAAAGUAAGUCUGGAAAGAU